CGCUGGCGGCGUGCCUAAUACAUGCAAGUCGAGCGGAUCUUGUCCUUCGGGACAAGAUUAGCGGCGGACGGGUGAGUAACACGUGGGUAACCUGCCUGUAAGACCGGGAUAACAUUCGGAAACGAAUGCUAAUACCGGAUACGCGGUUUGGUCGCAUGACCGGAUCGGGAAAGAUGGAGCAAUCUAUCACUUACAGAUGGACCCGCGGCGCAUUAGCUAGUUGGUGAGGUAACGGCUCACCAAGGCGACGAUGCGUAGCCGACCUGAGAGGGUGAUCGGCCACACUGGGACUGAGACACGGCCCAGACUCCUACGGGAGGCAGCAGUAGGGAAUCUUCCGCAAUGGACGAAAGUCUGACGGAGCAACGCCGCGUGAGUGAUGAAGGUUUUCGGAUCGUAAAGCUCUGUCGCCAGGGAAGAAUGCUUGGGAGAGUAACUGCUCCCAAGGUGACGGUACCUGAGAAGAAAGCCCCGGCU
rnacentral:rRNA from 1 species